rnacentral:rRNA from 1 species
GACGAACGCUGGCGGCGUGGAUUAGGCAUGCAAGUCGAACGGUAUCAUCCUUUCGGGGGUGAGAGAGUGGCGAACUGGUGAGUAACACGUAGGUUAUCUACCCUCAAGACGGGGACAACCCAGGGAAACUUGGGCUAAUACCGGAUGUGAGCAACUUUUAGUUGUUUGAAAGGUGGCGUAAGCUGUCGCUUGGGGAUGAGCCUGCGUCCUAUUAGUUAGUUGGUGAGGUAACGGCUCACCUAGGCAAUGAUAGGUAGGCGGCCUUAACGGGUGGUCGCCCACACUGGGAUUGAGAUACGGCCCAGACUCCUACGGGAGGCAGCAGUCGAGAAUAGUCUACAAUGGUCGGAAGACUGAUAGUGCGACGCCGCGUGAACGAUGAAUCCCUUCGGGGUGUAAAGUUCUUUUAUAUGUGAGCAGUGCUUCUUAUAUUAACAGUAUGGGGAGAGAGAUAUUAGCAUAUGAAUAAAGCAACGGCUAACUCCGUGCCCAGCAGCCCGCGGUAAACUCG